UGGGGAAUUGUUCGCAAUGGGCGCAAGCCUGACGACGCAACGCCGCGUGGAGGAUGAAGGUCUUCGGAUUGUAAACUCCUGUUGAUCGGGAAGAAUGGACUCCGGGUGAAUACUCCGGGGUAUUGACGGUACCGAUUGAGGAAGCCACGGCUAACUCUGUGCCAGCAGCCGCGGUAAUACAGAGGUGGCAAGCGUUGUUCGGAAUUACUGGGCGUAAAGGGCGCGUAGGCGGUCGCCUAAGUCGGACGUGAAAUCCCCAAGCUUAACUUGGGAACUGCGUCCGAUACUGGGUGACUUGAGUUCGAGAGAGGAAUGUGGAAUUCCAGGUGUAGCGGUGAAAUGCGUAGAUAUCUGGAGGAACACCGGUGGCGAAGGCGGCAUUCUGGACCGAAACUGACGCUGAGGCGCGAAAGCCAGGGGAGCAAACGGGAUUAGAUACCCCGGUAGUCCUGGCCCUAAACGAUGAGUGCUUGGUGUGGCGGGUAUCGAUCCCUGCCGUGCCGAAG
rnacentral:rRNA from 1 species